rnacentral:rRNA from 1 species
GACGAACGCUGGCGGCGUGCUUAACACAUGCAAGUCGAACGGAAAGGCCCUGCUUUUGUGGGGUGCUCGAGUGGCGAACGGGUGAGUAACACGUGAGUAACCUGCCCUUGACUUUGGGAUAACUUCAGGAAACUGGGGCUAAUACCGGAUAGGAGCUCCUGCUGCAUGGUGGGGGUUGGAAAGUUUCGGCGGUUGGGGAUGGACUCGCGGCUUAUCAGCUUGUUGGUGGGGUAGUGGCUUGCCAAGGCUUUGACGGGUAGCCGGCCCGAGAGGGUGACCGGCCACAUUGGGACUGAGAUACGGCCCAGACUCCUACGGGAGGCAGCAGUGGGGAAUAUUGCACAAUGGGCGGAAGCCUGAUGCAGCAACGCCGCGUGCGGGAUGACGGCCUUCGGGUUGUAAACCGCUUUCGCCUGUGACGAAGCGUGAGUGACGGUAAUGGGUAAAGAAGCACCGGCUAACUACGUG